rnacentral:rRNA from 1 species
UACGGGGGGGGCAAGCGUUGUUCGGAAUUACUGGGCGUAAAGGGCGCGUAGGCGGUUUGCUAAGUCGGAUGUGAAAACUCUGGGCUCAACCCAGAGCCUGCAUCCGAAACUGGCAGGCUAGAGUUCUGGAGGGGGUAGCGGAAUUCCUGGUGUAGCGGUGAAAUGCGUAGAUAUCAGGAGGAACACCGGUGGCGAAGGCGGCUACCUGGACAGAAACUGACGCUGGAGGCGCGAAAGCUAGGGGAGCAAACAGG